GCCUCCAUACUUUCAUACUACAGUAUGUCCUCUUAUCCUCCAAUUUAACCCUCACAACUCUCUUUCAAAGCGCGCCGGAGAAACAGGGUUCACGGGAUCUCUCCCAGACCGACUGGGGAACAAAGUGGUCGGGGCCAGGCAAGGAUGAAGGCGGCAUCGAUCUGUAACAAUCUUCCCGUCUGUCUCAAGUCAGAUGUCCCCCAGCGACAAUAAAACCCAAUCAAUCUGGCCAAGGGACAAUUUUACUUCAUUCAACAUCAAAUUAGAGGUUUCCUGUAAGCACACGAUAGCCAAUGAGAUGUGAUCUACUGGAGGCCUGCCUUCACUGUGAAUAAUGGGUGGCAGGAAAUUAGAGGCCUUCUUCCGCUUGCAACCUUAUCUACUGGUUAUCCUCUUCUUCAUCAGCACAAGAAGAUUACACAGGGGGCAAAGAGCAAAGAGAAAGAAAAAGGAACAGAAUUCAGAUUUGAAGAUAUUUAGAUGAUGAUUUCUUUAUUUUGCUCUUUCUGAGUAAUGGGAUUCAUUUGUUGCAUUCUACUGAAUUAAACUCCGCCUUGGGCGCAUGUAUGCUUA